UACGUAGGGGGCUAGCGUUGUCCGGAUUUAUUGGGCGUAAAGAGCGUGUAGGCGGCCAGGUAGGUCUGGUGUGAAAACUCGAGGCUUAACCUCGAGAUGUCAUCGGAAACCAUUUGGCUAGAGUCCGGAAGAGGAGAGUGGAAUUCCUGGUGUAGCGGUGAAAUGCGCAGAUAUCUGGAGGAACACCGGUGGCGAAGGCGGCGUUCUGGACUGCAACUGACACUGAGAGACGAAAGCCAGGGGAGCAAACGGG
rnacentral:rRNA from 1 species